UGAGACACGGCCCAGACUCCUACGGGAGGCAGCAGUGGGGAAUAUUGGACAAUGGGGGCAACCCUGAUCCAGCCAUGCCGCGUGUGUGAAGAAGGCUUUCGGGUUGUAAAGCACUUUCAGUGAGGAGGAAAAGUUGGUCGUUAAUACCGGCCAGCCUUGACGUUACUCACAGAAGAAGCACCGGCUAACUCCGUGCCAGCAGCCG
rnacentral:rRNA from 1 species